rnacentral:rRNA from 2 species
AACUUUCAGCAAYGGAUCUCUUGGCUCUCGCAUCGAUGAAGAACGCAGCGAAAUGCGAUAAGUAAUGUGAAUUGCAGAAUUCAGUGAAUCAUCGAAUCUUUGAACGCACCUUGCGCUCCUUGGUAUUCCGAGGAGCAUGCCUGUUUGAGUGUCAUU